rnacentral:lncRNA from 1 species
AUGGGGGUGCAAGCUGGCACCUCUGCCCUGGGCUUGGCGCGGGGAUCGAUCCCCCCGAGGAAACUCAACUGUGUCGUGGAGAUAUUCCUGCCAGACGGAUCUGAGACGCAAGAGCUGCUGGAGAUCCCCCCCCUCUCCGGGAGAGAGAGGAGAGCCCCGGGUCAGAGGCACACCCGGCGGGGAUGGGCACACAGCGUGAUUCAGACCAGCGCUACGGCUGCGCCCCGCGAAGCCCCGCUGGCAGCUCCCGGUGCUUCGGACCCGGUCUCAGCUUGUCCACGCCGGGAGCCGCAGCCACAGGAGGCCGGAGGAGCCGCCGGGGCCGGGCCGGGCCGUGCCCCUGCCGGGAGCAGCACCGGGCCGGCGCGGUGCCAGGCGCCCGGCGUGGGGACGCGAUGUACCGGCCGGGAACAGCCUGACUCAGCGCCGGCCGCCGGGGGGGCACCCGGCCAGGGCCACCCGGGCCCGCUGAGCGCCAGGGCCCCCUCUGGGCUCCUGGCUGGUGGGGUCCGGUGCGGCCCCUCAGCACCACCUCCCACCUGGCAACCCGCCAGUAUCCCCCUCAGCAUCCCAAAUAUCCCCCCCGGCAUCCCCCCAGUGUUCCCCUCUGCACCUCCCAGGACCUUCCUGUCAUCUCUCUCCAAUCCCCCCAAUCUCCAAUAUCCCCCCCACUCCCUGCUCUCCCCAUGUCCCCCCCGACAUCCCUGCCAAUAUCGCCUCCUCAUUCCCCUGGCUUCAACCCCUGCAUGCCCCCCUGCAUCACCCCCAACACCCUUUCAGCAUCCCCAGAGUGAAUCCCCAUUAAUGUCGUGGAGAGUUCUCCCAAAAUCCUCCCCUCCUCACCCUCGGUCUGCUCCCCCAGCCCAGCUCGCCAGCAUUUCAGGGAAUUUAAUGCUAAAAUUACCCACUGAGGGGGAGCCCAGCUGCAGGGAGUACUUUCCGCCCAAACUGGCUGUUCCAAAUCACCCAGCCUCGAGCUCAGCCCGGACUGGUGCAGCCCAAGAUCACCUCUCCUUGCUCUCCCCACCUCCCUGUAUUGCACUACUUCCAGCAGCGCGAAUUAUUCGGCAUGAGGAUUUUUUCCACCUGAGCCCUGGUGGACAACACCAGGGGUGGCUUGUGGAGGUAUGUGGGGUGCCUGGAUGUCCUCCCAGAGCCACUUCUGCAUCCCCAUGUUCCACUUGCAACCUCCACUACUGCCCUGAGCUGGGCAGUCCUCAGCCCUCGGCAGCUCUGGGGGGACAUCUGCAGGAGACCCCAAAGCCCCAAAGCCAACUCUGA